rnacentral:rRNA from 1 species
UACGAAGGGGGCUAGCGUUGCUCGGAAUCACUGGGCGUAAAGCGCACGUAGGCGGCUUUCUAAGUCAGGGGUGAAAUCCUGGAGCUCAACUCCAGAACUGCCUUUGAUACUGGAGAGCUUGAGUCCGGGAGAGGUGAGUGGAAUUCCCAGUGUAGCGGUGAAAUGCGUAGAUAUUGGGAGGAACACCAGUGGCGAAGGCGGCUCACUGGACCGGUACUGACGCUGAGGCGCGAAAGCGUGGGGAGCAAACGGG